GACGAACGCUGGCGGCGUGCUUAACACAUGCAAGUCGAACGGUAAGGCCCUUCGGGGUACACGAGUGGCGAACGGGUGAGUAACACGUGGGUGAUCUGCCCUGCACUUCGGGUUAAGCCUGGGAAACUGGGUCUAAUACCGGAUAGGACCACUGCCUGCAUGGGUGGUGGUGGAAAGCUUUUGCGGUGUGGGAUGGGCCCGCGGCCUAUCAGCUUGUUGGUGGGGGGAUGGCCUACCAAGGCGACGACGGGUAGCCGGCCUGAGAGGGUGACCGGCCACACUGGGAAUGAGAUACGGCCCAGACUCCUACGGGAGGCAGCAGUGGGGAAUAUUGCACAAUGGGCGCAAGCCUGAUGCAGCGACGCCGCGUGAGGGAUGACGGCCUUCGGGUUGUAAACCUCUUUCAGCAUCGACGAAGCGAAAGUGACGGUAGGUGCAGAAGAAGGACCGGCCAACUACGUGCCAGCCGCCGCCGUAA
rnacentral:rRNA from 1 species